AGUCCAAUACAAACAAAAUUGAAAGGAGAAUGAAGGAAUACGGGAAAAAGAGAACAAGGAAAUGAAAAUGAAAAUGAAAAACAAACAGAAAAAAAGAUUCAGCGUGUAAAGUUUCUGUUUCCUCCUUUACACUCAAAAUAUUUUGUCAAGUUGGGAAUUUUGUUUUUGGCUUUUUUUCUUGUUAAAAGUAAGGACUUCCAGUUCCAUGUCUUCAUCGCUUAGAUAUCUGGUAUUCUCUCCCUUUCGACAAAUUCAAGUUUAAGUUGGGAAUCUCAUGUAGCCUUUCUCAACCUAGUCCAAACUCUAAACACGUGUGUCCCCCUAACUGGUUGUUGCCAGCUAUGUUCUACAUUUCCAUGAAUUUCUCAUCCUCGGUUAAACUGUUAAGGAACCUGAAAGGAUUUCUUCUCAUGGCCAUAGUUGUGGUGAUUUCUAUAUGGGUUGGGGAGUUAUCUCGGAAGUUUUUUUCCUUGAAUUGAGUUGUAACGUGGCUAUAUUGUGAAAUCCAUGCCUCCUUACAUAAUGCCCUGUCUAUUUUGCUCCAAAUAUGCCCAUUAGUCCAAGUAAAUACUCUUCCAAUCACUUUCAUAUCUGUUAGGAUUAGAGUAUCAAUUACUUGCUGGAAAUCUCUACUCUCACUUCCGUUUACUGGUUGGCCUCCUUUUUCUAACAGAGAGUUGAAGUUGCCACAUAUGCACAAAGGGGUAGUUAGGUGUUUUGAUGAUCUCAUAAAUACAAGGACCAGGUCCCUGGCAGAGUGCUGUUGUCCAAAUUCAUCCGAGGGAACAACUGUAAACUUGUCAUGUCAGAUGGUAGGUGAAAAGUGCAGUGUAUUGCACCAAUAAGACAAGUGGACUGGAUUGUCUGUUUUAGUGGCUCACAAAUGCAAGGACUUGGUCCCUGGAAGAGUUUUCUCCAUCUGAUGCAAAAGGGGUACAACUGUAAAGCUAUCCUGUCAGUGGUAGGUGAGGCACCAGCGUACUGAACCAAUCAGAAUGGAAUAGGUUAUUUCUCUAACUGUUAAUAACUCUUUAGAGGUGAUACUUGCAACAUGACAAACAACAUAUUAAGUUUAUUCAUUCAAAAAGACGAAAAGAGUCAGCAAGUCUUUGUCAAAGAGCUCAAGCAUCAAAGAACGCAGCAAGGGACCUGGUCCCGAAAAGCCUGCAUACGAGAAAAGGAAGAAAAUACAGUUGUCAACUCUGAUGUGGUUGGUGCACAACUUUUCAUGACAGCAGACUCUCAUCCAAUAUCUUCGUCCUCAAGGCUUUGUGUCCAUGGUGAUAUAGCCUCUUCACCAAAACACAAAUAAAUGAUUUUGGCAAACAAAAACUCACAAGCUUAAAAAGAAAAAUUCAUUUUCAAAGAAAAACAAUACACAUACUCAACAAAAGGAUCAUAUAAAGUGUUGAAGUAUCUUUGUUGAAUUUGAGUUUUGUGUCUAUCAUUCUAUAGGUUUUUGCAUCUUGAAAUUUCUCAAGUAUACAAGCAAAGACUAUCUUGGUGAAGUAUUCUCCAACAAGCACAACAAGGACCUGAUCGAGUUGCAAGCGUCAAAGUGUGUCUUAGGAGUUAUACUUAUGUGCUUAUAUUGUAAAUCUGUUCCUAAUCUAUAAAGGAUUCAGUGCUUCUGGUUUUUAGAAGUCUAAAUCAGUUAGGGUUAACUGAUUUAGUGGGCAACAUUGUUUUGUUGCUUAUUCAAAUUUUAUGUCAUCUAAGUGAGAUGGUUUAGUGGGCAUUGUUGUAUCUGCUUAGCCAAAUACUAAAUCAUGUAGAGGUUGGUGACUUAGUGGGCGGUGUGGCAUCCGCUUAGCAAAGUCUAAGUUAUCUAGGGGUGAUAGCUUAGUGGACAAUGUUGUAUCUGCUUAGGCUCUUCAAAUAAUAGAGCUAUUACUUGGUCGUGAGAUUAAUAACUUCUUCUCACAUUGGUUGUAAUUGGGUUCACUUUUGCUUAUGGAAGAUUAGUAAAACAAUUGAAAACCUUGUGCAACAGGUUUUGAUUUUACUCCCUUGAGCAAGGAGGUUUUCACGUAA